rnacentral:rRNA from 1 species
CAGCCGCCGCGGUAAUACGAGGGGGGCAAGCGUUGUUCGGAAUUAUUGGGCGUAAAGGGCGCGUAGGCGGUUUGGCAAGUUUGGUGUGAAAUCUUCGGGCUCAACUCGAAGUCUGCAUCGAAAACUGCCGGGCUUGAGUAUGGGAGAGGUGAGUGGAAUUUCCGGUGUAGCGGUGAAAUGCGUAGAUAUCGGAAGGAACACCUGUGGCGAAAGCGGCUCACUGGACCAUGACUGACGCUGAGGCGCGAAAGCUAGGGGAGCAAACAGGAUUAGAUACCCCAGUAGUCCCUGUCUCUUAUAC